rnacentral:lncRNA from 1 species
AAUCCCAGUUAUUUGAUUAUGCAAAAGUGCCAUGUUUAAAACCCCCUAAUACAUCUUCAGGUUGGAUGCAGACAAAGAAAACUACAUGGUUGGCAGCAACUUCAUCCAAUGGUAACAUAAUCCCUUUGUGAACAUGGACAACCUCUUCAAACGCCAAACACUUUAAUAUGAAUUAUGUAAUUAGAAUCAUGUUAUGGAUGAGUGCAAAUUAUACAUUCAUUGUGAUUCGGUGAUAAUAUAGCAGGCUGUUGAAGAUGAUAAGCCGAAGGGCGAGAUGGUUAGAUUCUAUCACUUUUCUAUGUAUCAGAAUAUACUCUUUCGCUUAUCUAUUUUUACUUGCAAGGUUAUAGAUUUACACGGUCCAGAGAAUCCGGUGAUAGAAAAAGGCCCAAGGAUUCCAGGGAUUACAAAGCCUUCCAUGCCCAGCUGCAGAUUCAAAUAAAUUCUACUGGUGUCGCC